rnacentral:tRNA from 1 species
GCAAUGGUGGUUCAGUGGUGGAAUUCUCGCCUUUCACGUGGGAGACCCGGGUUCAGUUCCUGGGCAGUGUA